rnacentral:rRNA from 1 species
CAAUCAAAACCGCAUGGUUUUGAUUUGAAAGGCGCUUUCGGGUGUCGCUGAUGGAUGGACCCGCGGUGCAUUAGCUAGUUGGUGAGGUAACGGCUCACCAAGGCCACGAUGCAUAGCCGACCUGAGAGGGUGAUCGGCCACAUUGGGACUGAGACACGGCCCAAACUCCUACGGGAGGCAGCAGUAGGGAAUCUUCGGCAAUGGACGAAAGUCUGACCGAGCAACGCCGCGUGAGUGAAGAAGGUUUUCGGAUCGUAAAACUCUGUUGUUAGAGAAGAACAAGGAUGAGAGUAACUGUUCAUCCCUUGACGGUAUCUAACCAGAAAGCCACGGCUAACUACGUGCCAGCAGCCGCGGUAAUACGUAGGUGGCAAGCGUUGUCCGGAUUUAUUGGGCGUAAAGCGAGCGCAGGCGGUUUCUUAAGUCUGAUGUGAAAGCCCCCGGCUCAACCGGGGAGGGUCAUUGGAAACUGGGAGACUUGAGUGCAGAAGAGGAGAGUGGAAUUCCAUGUGUAGCGGUGAAAUGCGUAGAUAUAUGGAGGAACACCAGUGGCGAAGGCGGCUCUCUGGUCUGUAACUGACGCUGAGGCUCGAAAGCGUGGGGAGCAAACAGGAUUAGAUACCCUGGUAGUCCACGCCGUAAACGAUGAGUGCUAAGUGUUGGAGGGUUUCCGCCCUUCAGUGCUGCAGCUAACGCAUUAAGCACUCCGCCUGGGGAGUACGACCGCAAGGUUGAAACUCAAAGGAAUUGACGGGGGCCCGCACAAGCGGUGGAGCAUGUGGUUUAAUUCGAAGCAACGCGAAGAACCUUACCAGGUCUUGACAUCCUUUGACCACUCUAGAGAUAGAGCUUCCCCUUCGGGGGCAAAGUGACAGGUGGUGCAUGGUUGUCGUCAGCUCGUGUCGUGAGAUGUUGGGUUAAGUCCCGCAACGAGCGCAACCCUUAUUGUUAGUUGCCAUCAUUCAGUUGGGCACUCUAGCAAGACUGCCGGUGACAAACCGGAGGAAGGUGGGGAUGACGUCAAAUCAUCAUGCCCCUUAUGACCUGGGCUACACACGUGCU